rnacentral:lncRNA from 1 species
CUCGAAAAAUAAAUCAUUUACUCAUUAAAUGUGUGACAACCUACAAAGACAUUAUAAUACAAUAGGUCAAGUUAUGUUUCCAAAUUGCUAGAAUACAUUUACCUAUAAAGUUACUUUUUCUUAACUUGAAAUAAGUUAACAAAAACAAACCAGGUGCUCCGCAGGGUGCAGCUUUAUAUAUAUCCUGGUACCUUUGAUAACUAUUUAUACGACCGCAGAAGUCGAACCCUGAAUAGUUUUGGCAAGUAUGAACACAACAUUCAAGCUUGAUACAGCUCUGAAUUUAGAUUGCUAUAAAAUAUUUGACAUAAUAUGAGUUUCUGACACAAAACAAAUGUCAAUUUCUUACAAAUCUAUUGCGCGAUUUUGUGCAAUUACAGAUUUCUUCUUUUAACUUUUCAAAAAUUUGGAAUUUGAAAAAUUUGAAAAAAAGGAAAACAUCUACCACCCCCUUUUUUUGCAAUGUGUCGAAAACCUGACAUUUCUUAAAACAUAAUAUACAAGUAGUGUAAGGGACGUUAAUCCGAACAUACCCAACAUUAUAUGUUAAAUGUUUUAGAAUAACCUCCCUUACACUGCUUUUAAAUUGUCUUAAUUGUCCAUUGACCAGAAAUACCUAGUUUUUCCCCUUUGUUGCCCCUAAUUCCGCAACAUUUUGAGCCAUACCCCCCCUCCCCAAGUCAAUACUAACCAUCCUUUUAUGGUAUGGAAACGUGUGGUUUUAUUUCAGAAAGAUUCAUACACUUAAGCAUACGUUAUUGUUUGAAAACUACAAAAAUGAUUAUUUUGGGCCCCCUUUUAGGCCCCUAAACUAUUGGGACCAUAACCCGCAAAAUCAAUCCCAACCUUUUGUUUUUUUGUGAUAUUGAACCUUCUUAUAAAAAAUUAUAGAGAUCUAUACACUUAAACACAAGCUUGUUUUGGCCCAUUUUUGACCCUUAAUUCCUAGACUGUUUUCCCAAUAACCCCUUAAAAUAAAUCCCAACCUUCUACUUCAGAAUUGAAAUACUAAAACACAACUUUUUGUCCUGAAACUAGAUAAACGCUGUUUUUGGCCCCUUGGACCCCUUAUUCCUAAACCUUUGGGACCAUAACCCCCAAAAUCAAUCCCAAGCUUCCUUUAGUGGUUAUAAACAUUGUGUUAAAAUUUUAUUGAUUUCUUUUCACUUAUUCAAAAGUUAUUAUCCGGAAACAAUCCGUCUUCGGACGACGCUGACGACGACGACGACGUGAUACCAAUAUACGACAAAUUUUUUUUUAAAUUUUUACGCUGGUAUAAAAAUACAAGGUAACUAAACAUAUAAUUGUAAUUAUAAAAAGAUUCAUGAAUUUGCCAGCAAUGUUAUAAUCAAUAAUAAUAACCGAACAAUUAAGAAAACAAGUUAUACAUUCUUAAUGCAUCAAUAAUAUAUCUUCUGUUUUUUACAAUACACCAAUACAAACGUAAAUGAAAAUCACACUUAUAUUUCAAGUAGAACUUGAUGCUUCUUAAGCACAACAUUUCUCUCUUGAUUUACAUUCAUCAGAAAUGCUCAAACACAAUAAUUUGAAAACCAAUUAAAAUGCACCAAAAAUAUCCAAUACCACCAAUAUGUACUUCCAUUCAAUGAUAUUUUAUAAUAAGUUAAUGUUUAAAGAAUUUCUAAUUACUUUUUGUUCAAAUUAUAUUUGAACGGACAUUGUAAAUACUCAUGUAUGAUAUUUUAGCACAUCUGAAGAAUAACUGAUGUUAACAGUUAUCUAAUUCCUUGGUUCAAAUCUUGAAUUCGUUAUUGUAGUAGUCUUUGUCAUUCCUGGUUCAAAGAUUUAGAUAAAUCUUCAAUCACGCAUCCCUGGGACAUCAGUGAUCGUCAUGUUCGUACAAGUGUGUCACUAGAGGAUUUACGAUUUGCACAAGAAAUGGCAAAGACUAUCAAAACAACGUUUGAUCAAUGGAAUGAGAAGAUGCUUAUAAUCAGUUAUUCGAAUGAACAGUGGUUGCACUCAGUAUUCGACAUGGCUUAAUCACUGACACAUAUUGACUUUUUCCAAUGAAGACGCAUUGUGUUAUGUAAAUUUUUUACUUGUUAGCAUCCAGAGUAAAAAAAAAAUGCCAAUGUGUAGCACCUAUGAUAUCCUCUUAAGGAAAUCUAAUAACCAGAAUUAUCUUAAGAGACGUAUUUCCAUAGUUUUGUAGAAUGAUAAUUUAAAUAUUUUGAAGAAAUGUGAUCAUCAAAAUCAUAACAAUUCCCCUCAUAUAGUAGACUUCAACAUGUACACUGUAAAUCAUUGAAGAUUUGCAUCAUCAUUCUACAAGUCCAGUGUUUGACCUUUUGAUUUUGUCAUGUGAUAAGGGACUUUC